rnacentral:rRNA from 1 species
UCGAUUUGGAGUUUGUUGCCUAGAGUGAUGGGCUCCGAAGCUAACGCGAUAAAUCGACCGCCUGGGGAGUACGGCCGCAAGGUUAAAACUCAAAUGAAUUGACGGGGGCCCGCACAAGCGGUGGAGCAUGUGGUUUAAUUCGAUGCAACGCGAAGAACCUUACCUGGUCUUGACAUCCACAGAAUCUUGCAGAGAUGCGAGGGUGCCUUCGGGAACUGUGAGACAGGUGCUGCAUGGCUGUCGUCAGCUCGUGUUGUGAAAUGUUGGGUUAAGUCCCGCAACGAGCGCAACCCUUAUCCUUUGUUGCCAUUGGUUCGGCCGGGAACUCAAAGGAGACUGCCGUUGAUAAAGCGGAGGAAGGUGGGGACGACGUCAAGUCAUCAUGGCCCUUACGACCAGGGCUACACACGUGCUACAAUGGCGUAUACAAAGGGAGGCGACCUCGCGAGAGCAAGCGGACCUCAUAAAGUACGUCUAAGUCCGGAUUGGAGUCUGCAACUCGACUCCAUGAAGUCGGAAUCGCUAGUAAUCGUGAAUCAGAAUGUCACGGUGGAUACGUUCCCGGGCCU